GCGCCGGGAGGUCGGGCGGGAUCAGCUCUCAGGCUCCAGGGGCGGCGGGCGGCUCGGUCAUCUGCGGGGAAGUCUGGUCUCUUCAGAGCCGGGGACCGCGGGCCGGGGACUCGACUCCUCCGAGCGGGAGAGCGAGAAUUCCAAGUAUGUGACUGAAAUUACCUACUUUCCCCUGGAUGGAAUGUUGAGAUGGGCUUACACCAAACCAAGGAUCACCAUUAUUUAAUACCCUUGCAUCAGGGUGGAGUUGGCUUAGCCUGGACGCCUAGGCCAGUGGUUGGCAAACUCAUUAGUCAACAAAGCCAAAUAUCAACAGUACAACGAUUGAAAUUUCUUUUGAGAGCCAAAUUUUUUAAACGUAAACUAUAUAGAACUAAAGCCUUGUGUGUUGGGAGAGACUGAAAGGUAUGCCUUGUCCAUCUGUUAUGUUCUCUUUUCCUCCUAAACAACUGAAAAGGCAUGUAGUUGACAAAAAUCAUGGAAGUUCAUUGGU